CUCUAUCAAUAGAUAUUUAAUAUCAAACAGUUAGCGCAGGCUCAGAAAAGAGCCCUUCCCCUAGGCCCGGAUCGGGAUAAGAUCUGGGCCUUUUCUU
rnacentral:sRNA from 1 species